rnacentral:rRNA from 1 species
UAGGGAAUUUUGGGCAAUGGGCGCAAGCCUGAUCCAGCCAUGCCGCGUGAGUGAAGAAGGCCUUCGGGUUGUAAAGCUCUUUCGGUGGGGACGAAAAGGUUCGUGCUAAUACCACGAACUAAUGACGGUACUCGAAGAAGAAGCACCGGCUAACUACGUGCCAGCAGCCGCGGUAAUACGUAGGGUGCAGGCGUUAAUCGGAAUUACUGGGCGUAAAGCGUGCGCAGGCGGUUGUGUAAGUCAGAUGUGAAAUCCCCGGGCUCAACCUGGGAAUUGCAUUUGAGACUGCACGGCUAGAGUGUGUCAGAGGGGGGUAGAAUUCCACGUGUAGCAGUGAAAUGCGUAGAUAUGUGGAGGAAUACCGAUGGCGAAGGCAGCCCCCUGGGAUAACACUGACGCUCAUGCACGAAAGCGUGGGGAGCAAACAGGAUUAGAUACCCAAGUAGUCCCUGAGCGGGCUGGCAAGGCGCAU